rnacentral:rRNA from 1 species
GACGAACGCUGGCGGCGUGCUUAACACAUGCAAGUCGAACGAAGUGGCGAACGGGUGAGUAACGCGUAAUCAACCUGCCCUUCAGGGGGGGACAACAGUUGGAAACGACUGCUAAUACCGCAUACUGAAGGAGGGGUUUGCGUCUGAUUAGCUAGUGGGGGGGGUAACGGCCAACCAAGGCGAUGAUCAGUAGCCUGUUGGGGGGGAGGAACGGCCAAAUUGGGACGGGGACAAGGCCCAGACUCCUUCGGGAGGCAGCAGUGGGGAAACUUCCGAAAUGGACGAAAGUCUGACGGAGCAACGCCGCGGGAGAGAUGACGGCCUUCGGGGUGUAAAGCUCUGUUAAUCGGGACGCGGUACCGGAAUAGAAAGCAACGGCUAACUACGUGCCAGCAGCCGCGGUAAUAC